rnacentral:rRNA from 1 species
AUUGUACGCUGGCGGCAUGCCUUACACAUGCAAGUCGAACGGUAACAGGUCUUCGGAUGCUGACGAGUGGCGAACGGGUGAGUAAUACAUCGGAACGUGCCCGAUCGUGGGGGAUAACGAAGCGAAAGCUUUGCUAAUACCGCAUAAGAUCUACGGAUGAAAGCAGGGGACCGCAAGGCCUUGCGCGAACGGAGCGGCCGAUGGCAGAUUAGGUAGUUGGUGGGAUAAAAGCUUACCAAGCCGACGAUCUGUAGCUGGUCUGAGAGGACGACCAGCCACACUGGGACUGAGACACGGCCCAGACUCCUACGGGAGGCAGCAGUAGGGAAUAUUGGUCAAUGGGCGAAAGCCUGAACCAGCAAUGCCGCGUGAGUGAUGAAGGCCUUCGGGUUGUAAAGCUCUGUCGGAGGGAACGAAUAAGUCGGUUAAUACCCGAUGAUGACGGUACCUUCAAAGGAAGCACCGGCUAACUCUGUGCCAGCCGCCGCCGUAAGAC